rnacentral:misc_RNA from 1 species
GAACGGGCGUCUCAUGCGCUUUGCCCUCGUGCUGCGGUUGUGCGCUGCUGCUCCUUUCACUGGGCUGCCACUCGGCCCGGCGACGCGCGUGCCCUCACGGCAGCCACGGUUUCACCGCAGCCCUAAGAGAAGCGGCCAAGGCGCCGGGUCUGUCUUUCUCUUUAUAGUCGGGGCCUAUGCCUCCUCUUUGCCUUUCCGCCUGUCGCAGCACGUGCGGGGCAAGCCAUCCAGGCACGCCCCCCCCUCCUCCUCCUCCUCCUCCCCGUAGGACUGCCGGAAAAAGGCGAUGAAGACAAAGAGCCCCCCUUCCCCGACAGCAACGCCGCCCCGAAGCAGGCCUCAAGAUGCAAUAAUGCGAGCACUGUUCGCACGGACUGUCAAGCACAACUGGCAUGGUGUAUCGCACCCAGGUGAAGCAUGCAUACGUGAGAGGAACGUGAGUGAUCGACGAACAGGGCGCGAAGAGAGCCAUAUCAAUCAACUCCCCAAGCUGCAUGCGUGCGAAAUGUGCGGCAUCUCCUGCAUCCGACCGGGUGGGCUGAUGAGACGCAGAUGCCGGAAGCGUGACCGGGACACCCCGAAGUUGCACCAUAGAGUCCUCCAGACCCCCAUGUGAAGAGUCUCCGCACUACAUUCUGGGGUGCCGCGGCUUGAGGCCACUCAAGUGGAAGCGUGGCAGGGAGGCAAUGGUGUGCAAGGUCUCAGGGGGCCUCGGCCGAAGCUGGCCAACUGCCUCUCUGAGCUCAUCCGGCAAGCGCUUGGACUACCCCCCCCCCGAUGCCCACACCACAGGCGUCAUCGCCUCCGACCUCGAGCAGGACCCCGGAGGUGGUCUGCUUGGAUGAAGGCGUGCAGUCCAGCCAUGUCCGUGUGACGCCGAUCGCGCCGCACGUACUCGAGGAAGGGACGAGGAAAGAGGAGAAGAACCCUUUAGGUGCAUGGACAGACUCGGCGGCAGGGCUGCUCAUCCGAGACGACGUGGAUUUAGCCAAAGUGCGACAGAGGUAGGUGGGCUGUGGUUGAAUGCGUAUACAUUUGCUGGCUUGCUCGAGGUGGAAUGACAGGCUAUGCAUACAUAUUUAUGUAUUCACUACAUGUGUUGAUUGGGUCUCCAUUUUUUUUAUACCGCGGUUCUGCCAGAAGGCCUGCCAGAGUGCCCCUGCAGCAUCCCGCUCCACCACCACCACCAUCAAUGAUAUCAGGAAUGGCGGGUGCUCGUCACCAUUGCAUCGGACGUACCACUGCACUCUCUAUCUCUUUGUCGUAUACCGAUGCCCACAGACACACGAGCACAGAUGCACGUGCCUACACUGCCUUUUUCUACACAGUUGCAGCCCGUUGUCGUUUCGAAGCGAUUAGCAUUAUUGUUGUCUAUUGGGUCACAUGGCGCAUCGAGGGCGUUCUGGGUUUUGCUGUGCAGUCGUUUAACGGCGUUCUGCGUCACUUUCUCUGUCGCUCUCCUCCCCCCUCCCCUCCCCUCAUCGCCCGGCUCAUCUGGUCCCUUGAGCUGUCUCUACUCAGCUCCCAUCGCACGAGUGGGCUCGUAUGGUCGUUUAGUUGUUAUCGUUUGUUUGUUUGUUUGGGGCUGGUUCGUCUCGUUCACCUUUUUGCCGUUCUCCCCUGUGUCUUUGUGCGGCGGUGUCUACUCCACAAUGGGGACGCUUUUCCGGCGCCCUUUUCCUUCCGCCUCUUUAUGCUCCAUCGCCGCCCUCCCCACAUCCACACGCACGUGCAUCAUAUAUUUUUUUUCGUGCGUGUGUGUUGUUUUACACGCCCGCACACUGCGUCUCAACGCCAGCGACACAAUGAAAGCGCGCGCGCUCAAGCAGUGUCGCCAAGAGGAAAAAAGAAACGGUCCUCAUCGCUGCUUUUUUUGGGGGCCGGGGCGGGGUUGCCGUGUUCUGUUCUUGAGGCUUAUGCUGUAGUGCCUUAUGCGACUAUGUGGCGUGCACGUUUCCGCUGAUGUUGCGUGCAUAUACAUCCUAUAUAAAUAUAUAUGUGUGUAUAUAUGUAUAGUUGUAUGUAUUUCCUUUCCCGCCUCUCUCUCGCUCCCCCUCCCGCUUUUUCCUUAGGCCUCUGAUGGAAUCGGCUAGUGGCAAUGUUCUCCACUGUCGCAAGUUCGCGUUCCUUGCAUAACGUUGUCUACACCACGACACAUGAG